GAAACUUGCCCCGAGAUGAGUUCUCCCUGAGACUUUAAGUCUCCUGAAGGAACGUUGAAGACGACGACGUUGAUAGGCCGGGUGUGUAAGCGCAGCGAUGCGUUGAGCUAACCGGUACUAAUGAACCGUGAGGCUUAACCUU
rnacentral:rRNA from 2 species